GUAAAUAUAUGUUUACAUAUACUAAAAAUCAAAAGAUACAGAGAAAAUUAGCAUGGCCCCUGCGCAAGGAUGCAAGCAAAAUUCGUGAAGCGGUUCCAUAUUUUU